AAGCAUGAUUUGGGAGUAGCUAUUGCCAGCGUCAAGCAUGAUGUGCGAGUAGUGUGCAUGAUGUGCAAUCCUGCUUGAUGCUAGUAAUAGCUACUGCACAGUCU
rnacentral:pre_miRNA from 1 species